rnacentral:rRNA from 1 species
AUUGAACGCUGGCGGCAUGCUUUACACAUGCAAGUCGAACGGUAACAGGCCGCAAUGUGCUGACUGAUGUUGAACGGGGGCGUAAUACAUCCAAACGGACCCACUCCCUGUAGGUAACUACUCGAAACAGUAACUAAUACCUCAUACCGGCUAUUAAUUUAAACGGCGUGCCUUAAUGGCGCGCGCGAUUUUUGCGGCCGAUGUCAGAUUAGGUAGUUGGUGGGGUAAAGGCUCACCAAGCCAACGAUUUGUAGCUGAACUGAGAGGAUGACCAGCCACACUGGAACUGAGACACGGUCCAGACUCCUACGGGAGGCAGCAGUGGGGAAUCUUGGACAAUGGGCGAAAGCCUGACGGAGCAACGCCGCGUGAAGGAAGAAGGCCUUCGGGUUGUAAACUGCUUUUGUAAGGAAAGAAAAGACUUUGGUUAAUCCACGCAGGUAAUGACGGUACCGUAAGAAUAAGCCCCGGCUAACUACGUG